ensembl:lncRNA MUC20-OT1 MUC20 overlapping transcript
GGGACUGGCGGGACUGCGCGGCGGCGACUACAGACGUGUCGGGGGUCCGGGGCCUGUCGCGGUUGCCAAGCGCUCGGCGCUUGGCGCUGGCGCUGGCCAAGGCGUGGCCAACAGUGUUGCAAACAGGAACCCGAGGUGUUCACUUCACUGUUGAAGGAACGAGAGGGCAUCUGCUAAAGUUUCAGAUUCCAUUUCUGCUCAGUAUCCAGUAGUGGAUCAUGAAUUUGAUGCAGUGGUGGUAGGCGCUGGAGGGGCAGGCUUUGCGAGCUGCAUUUGGCCUUUCCGAGGCAGAGUUUGAUACAGCAUGUGUUACCAAGCUGUUUCCUACCAGGUCACACACUGUUGCAGCGCAGGUUGGAAUCAAUGCUGCUCUGGGGAACAUGGAGGAGGACAACUGGAGGUGGCAUUUCUAUGACACCGUGAAGGGCUCCGACUGGCUGGGGGACCAGGAUGCCAUCCACUACGUGACGGAGCAGGCCCCCACUGCCAUGGUCGAGGUAGAAAAUUAUGGCAUGCCGUUUAGCAGAACUGAAGAUGGGAAGAUUUAUCAGCGUGCAUUUGGCGGACACAGCCUCAAGUUUGGAAAGGGCAGGCAGGCCCAUCGGUGCUGCUGUGUGGCUGAUCGGACCGGCCACUCAAUAUUGCACACCUUAUAUGGGAGGUCUCUGCGAUAUGAUACCAGCUGUUUUGUGGAGUAUUUUGCCUUGGAUCUCCUGAUGGAGAAUGGGGAGUGCCGUGGUGUCUUCGCACUGUGCAUACAGGACGGGUCCAUCCAUCGCAUAAGAGCAAAGAAUACUAUUGUUGCCACAGGGUAGGAAUCUAAUUUCUACUUUAUUUCCUUUGUAAAAAUGAAUAAAUUUCAUUUAGAGUCUCUUUAUUUUAAGGAAAAUAGAGGCAUUGUAGAAUAGCAGUUCAGACACAGGCCUUGAUAUAACCACGUGAGGGUGAUGGCCUUUCCCAGCCAUGGUUCCUCACCUGUAAAGGGUGAGGACAGCAGCACCUGCCUCGGGGUGAGAAAGCAUGGCCCUCAUUAGUCGGUAGUGGCUGCCGUCAGGUUCACAGCGUACCUCUCCCGAUUUUAGAUGAGGAAACUGUGGCCCGAAGAGUCACAUGGGGUUUUCUGGCAAAAUCCCUCUUGUUUUAGUGGGUUCUAUGUUUAUACUGAUUCCUGGGAUAGAUAAGUCUGUCUUCUCCACAUAAUGAAAAUAAAAAACUUUAAUUUUAUACAGUGGCAGUUACUUUAGCCACUUUAAAAGUUAAGAAGUGUCAGUACAGCCAA